rnacentral:rRNA from 1 species
GACGAACGCUGGCGGCGUGCUUAACACAUGCAAGUCGAACGGUGAAGCGCCUUCCUUUUUGGUGGGUGUGGAUGAGUGGCGAACGGGUGAGUAACACGUGAGUAACCUGCCCCCUUCUUCUGGAUAACCGCAUGAAAGUGUGGCUAAUACGGGAUAUUCUGGGUCUGUCGCAUGAUGGGUCUGGGAAAGAUAUUGUUUCGGUGGGGGAUGGGCUCGCGGCCUAUCAGCUUGUUGGUGGGGUGAUGGCCUACCAAGGCGGUGACGGGUAGCCGGCCUGAGAGGGUGGACGGUCACAAUGGGACUGAGACACGGCCCAGACUCCUACGGGAGGCAGCAGUGGGGAAUAUUGCACAGUGGGCGCAAGCCUGAUGCAGCGACGCCGCGUGAGGGAUGGAGGCCUUCGGGUUGUGAACCUCUUUCGCCAGUGAAGCAGGCCUGCCUCGUUUGUGGGUGGGUUGACGGUAGCUGGAUAAGAAGCGCCGGCUAACUACGUG